UACGUAGGGGGCAAGCGUUGUCCGGAUUUAUUGGGCGUAAAGAGCGUGUAGGCGGCUUUACAGGUCCGUUGUGAAAACUCGAGGCUCAACCUCGAGACGCCGGUGGAAACCGUAAAGCUAGAGUCCGGAAGAGGAGAGUGGAAUUCCUGGUGUAGCGGUGAAAUGCGCAGAUAUCAGGAAGAACACCCGUGGCUAAGGCGGCUCUCUAGUACGGUACUGACGCUGAGACGCGAAAGCGUGGGGAGCGAACAG
rnacentral:rRNA from 1 species